GACGAACGCUGGCGGCGUGCCUAAUACAUGCAAGUAGAACGCUGAAGGAGGAGCUUGCUUCUCUGGAUGAGUUGCGAACGGGUGAGUAACGCGUAGGUAACCUGCCUGGUAGCGGGGGAUAACUAUUGGAAACGAUAGCUAAUACCGCAUAAGAGUAGAUGUCGCAUGACAUUUGCUUAAAAGGUGCAAUUGCAUCACUACCAGAUGGACCUGCGUUGUAUUAGCUAGUUGGUGAGGUAACGGCUCACCAAGGCAACGAUACAUAGCCGACCUGAGAGGGUGAUCGGCCACACUGGGACUGAGACACGGCCCAGACUCCUACGGGAGGCAGCAGUAGGGAAUCUUCGGCAAUGGACGGAAGUCUGACCGAGCAACGCCGCGUGAGUGAAGAAGGUUUUCGGAUCGUAAAGCUCUGUUGUAAGAGAAGAAACGAGUGUGAGAAGUGGAAAAGUUCCAC
rnacentral:rRNA from 1 species